AUUUAGGUUUAUGUAUGUAGCCUAUGUGUAAUGAAAUGUGAAAACAAGCAAUAUCGCGUCGCCCUCAUGACAGGCAGAGAGAAUCUUCUAAGUGAUGUUGUCCAAGGCAUUCUAUGAACGUAGGAAUACGUGUCUGUGAGUUUCCUCAGCCAGCAAAGCUGAUAUGUAGCGGACUUUUUCAAUAAAAAGUAAAUCAGGGCGAUUGUGUGUUGUUAGGUGAGGGGGUGCCUCAUUUGAAAAUAAUGUGUGUAUAUUUUAUCAUUAUUAGUAUAUAGGUUUUAGUAUACUUUUUGAAAAUAUAAAACCGGGUCUACAAACUCCCUUUUAUCGCUGACAGGGCGCCGGGUUUUAUCAAGAAAGUGGGAAUGACUGCAAGAACCUGGCGCACCUAGUUAAUUUGGGUAUAUAAUAUAUGUAUGCAUAUUAAGAAUAAUUUAAGAUUUCUUAAAAAAAAACAACAACAUUUGU
rnacentral:sRNA from 1 species